rnacentral:rRNA from 1 species
AUGAGGAUCAUAGCUUGGAACUGCCGGGCAUUGGGUAAUGGGCCAGCAGUUCGAGGGCUUCUGGACCUCCAGAAGCGAGAGGACCCCGACAUCCUAUUCUUGUCGGAGACUAAGAGCGACGAGAAGAGGAUGAAACACAUCAGGUGGUUGUUGGGAAUGAAACACAUGGUAGUCAAAGAAUGCAGAGGGAAAAGCGGUGGUUUAGCACUUUUUUGGAAAGAAGGUAUCCCGGUGGAACUCCAUAAUUACUCAAAAUAUCACAUGGAUGUGGAAAUAGUGGAAGAUGAUGGUUUUAAGUGGAGGUUGACUGGAAUUUAUGGAGAACUAGCAAGGGAUAAAAAGGAGAAUACGUGGAGGCUCAUGAGAAACUUGAACGCAUAA